AUUCGGGCGGCUGUUCAAGGAACUGGACACCAAGCACAACAGGUGCCUGGGAGGGCGUCAUGAUCGGCUCAGGCCCCAGGCGCCCCCCUGGCUUGGCACGGUGGGCUGAGAGCUAUGAGGUCAAGUGUGAGCGACGGCAGGAGAUGCGCGAGAGCCGCCGCCUCCGGCCCAAUGUGACCACCUGCCGCCAGGUGGGGAGGGCGUGGAGGACCCAGCAGCGAGAGCAGCUCCAGAGAGCACGGCAGCUGCAGUUCUUCAGGAAGAGGAACCUGGAGGCAGAGAAGGGCCAGGCCCAGCCUCUGCGGGCCAGCGAGCAAGGCCACUGCAGGAGCGCAGGCCAGGCAGCUGUCUUCAAGGAGCUGCUGUCGGACCCCAAGAGGAACGCUUCCCCGGGACAGCAGGUGACAGGGACCAGCCCCACGGCCUUUCCAACCCAGAGUCGUCCCCCCUCAAGUGUCCACAGGGACCUGGCUGACCACUGCGGGGCCCUUCCACCACGAGACUCUCCCACCAGGAGGCCACCCAAACACCACCGCGGCACUCAGACAAAGGCAGAAGACACACAGCCAGCAAUCAAGAAUGAUGCCAGUCAGCAGACCAAUUGCGGAGUCGCAGUUCUGGAUAAGGAAAUCAUCCAGCUUUCCGAGUACCUCAAAGAGGCCCUACAAAGGGAACUGGUCCUAAAACAGAAAAUGGUGAUUCUCCAAGACCUACUCUCCACCCUGAUUCAGGCCUCUGACCGCUCCUGGAAGGGACAGCUCAAUGAGGACAAGCUGAAGGGCAGACUGAGGUCCCUGGAGAACCAGCUCUACGCCUGCACCCAGGUGAGCAACCUGUCAGCUCGUGAAUCAGAAAAUUCUGGACCCUCAGUCCUACUUCUGGAAAUGUUCUCUUACCUGGGUCUGGGGUGGGCCCUCUCACUCUGCUACUUCGUUUGUCACGUGACUGCCUCCAGCCUCCCCUUCUCCUGCCAGGAUGUUCCCUUUGCAUGCUGGGAAGGAAUUCAUCAGCUGCAAGGGAACCUUGAGAAUACCCCACCAUCCGGAGAAACCCUUGGUAGAUUCUCACCACCCAGCCAGCAUCCACAGUUCCCAGUAGGGGUUUUGGUUUUUGUUCUCUGCCUUGAGACAGGGUUUCCCUAUAUUCCCCAACUAGCCUUGAACUUGGGGCAGUCCUCCUGCCUCAGCCCCCUAGACAAUACAGGCAUGCGCCACAACUCUUGGCGGGUCCCAGUAUUUGAACAGAUGCACUGGAUAUUAUCAGGAAUAAUAUUUGUUUAUUUGCUUGCUUCAUAAUGGUUUUUGUCUGCUUGUUUUGUUUGCUUUUUUCAUAAUGGUGGGAAUAGAACCCAGGACCUCCUGCAUGGUAGGUAAGCACUCUAUCACUUAGUCUACAUCACCAGCCUUCUUUUUCUUUUUUUGUGGGGGGGGGCAGGGUCUUGCUAAAAAUGCCCAGGGUGACCUUGAACUUGGGUUCCACUUGCCUAAUUAAACUUCCUGAGUAACUAGAAUUACAGGAGUGCAUCAUUGCAUAUAGUUAGUAAGGAAUUCUUCGAAAAUGACUUUCAUCCUGUGAGCAACUUUUUUCUAGUAGUAACCUCGGGAAGAAAGUAAGAGUAUGACUUGGCUUUUCUGUGACAUGAUUAUCCAGCUUCAGUAAUCUCCUGAUUUGACCUAAUCUUCAACUUUAAAAAAAUUCAGUUUUCACACCUUUGAGAAAUGAUGGAUUUCUGCCGGGUGGGGAGAUGUCAAGAAGAAAAUGUGGCGGCAGCUGGGCAGGGGGCUCACACCUGGGUCCCCAGCACCCGGAAGGCAAUAUACCAAGACCCGACCUCAAAAGGGUGGAGGGACUUAGCUCAGUGGGGCCACCACCCACUUCGCGCAUGCAAGGCCUGGAAUUCAAUCCCUGGUACCAAAACAAGGGUGGGAGGGAGUAGAAGAUAGGUGUCUCUUAUUUGAAAUAACAGCUGGGAUCUUGCAGGAGAAGAUUUUAUACAACCUGCAGGUUUCCCAGCCUACACAUUUUAUUUUUUCAAUAUGACCUAGUUUGUUAGGUUUUUCUGAACUAGACACUCCAACCACAUUUGUAAGAGACUGACAUAUAACCCGGAACACCAGUCUACUCGUUGUCAGUAGGGGGUAAAGCUGGCCAGACCAGCAUGUUAAAUCCAAUGACUCAGCCAGGCGAGAUGGUGCACACCCACAAUCUCAGCACUUCAGAGACUGAGGCAGGAGGAUCACCCCAAGUUCAGAGCCAACAGAGCUACAUAGUGAAUUCAAGAUCAGACUGAACUAUGUAGUGAGACCUUGUCUAAAAGCCAAACAAAUCAAAAAUAAAUCCAAUAACUGGGCCAUGCUUCAUGUAUAACCUCAACCAGUCACCCCAGAUCUAGUUCUUUUUUGGCUUUUUUUUUUUUUUUUUUUUUUUUUUG
rnacentral:lncRNA from 1 species